rnacentral:rRNA from 1 species
ACACUCCUGCGGGAGGCAGCAGUGGGGAAUAUUGGACAAUGGGCGCAAGCCUGAUCCAGCCAUGCCGCGUGAGUGAUGAAGGCCCUAGGGUUGUAAAGCUCUUUCACCGGUGAAGAUAAUGACGGUAACCGGAGAAGAAGCCCCGGCUAACUUCGUGCCAGCAGCCGCGGUAAUACGAAGGGGGCUAGCGUUGUUCGGAUUUACUGGGCGUAAAGCGCACGUAGGCGGACUAUUAAGUCAGGGGUGAAAUCCCGGGGCUCAACCCCGGAACUGCCUUUGAUACUGGUAGUCGUGAGUUCGAGAGAGGUGAGUGGAAUUCCGAGUGUAGAGGUGAAAUUCGUAGAUAUUCGGAGGAACACCAGUGGCGAAGGCGGCUCACUGGCUCGAUACUGACGCUGAGGUGCGAAAGCGUGGGGAGCAAACAGGAUUAGAAACCCCUGUAGUCCC